UAAUCUCCGCCAGGAACGGUGUCAUCCCAGUGCUUUGGCACUGAGAUCCAGAAAACUUAUUUUAAAUAAGUACACCAGAUAGCUGUAUAAUAAGAACUGGAUUCCAGUGUCAAGCACUGGAAUGACACCUUCUGUAUAA
rnacentral:ncRNA from 1 species